rnacentral:rRNA from 1 species
AGAGUUUGAUCAUGGCUCAGGACGAACGCUGGCGGCGUGCUUAAUACAUGCAAGUCGAGCGAGGUUACUGUUUCGGAUCCCUUCGGGGUGAAGAAGCUUUAACCUAGCGGCGGACGGGUGAGUAACGCGUGGGUAACCUACCCCAAAGUCCGGGAUAACAGCGGGAAACCGCUGCUAAUACCGGAUGUCUUUACCUUGGGGCAUCUUGAGGUAAAGAAAGGUAACGCUUUGGGAUGGGCCCGCGUCCCAUUAGCUAGUUGGUGAGGUAACGGCUCACCAAGGCGACGAUGGGUAGCCGGCCUGAGAGGGUGGACGGCCACACUGGGACUGAGACACGGCCCAGACUCCUACGGGAGGCAGCAGUAGGGAAUAUUGCGCAAUGGACGGAAGUCUGACGCAGCGACGCCGCGUGAGCGAUGGAGGUCUUCGGAUCGUAAAGCUCUGUCCUUGGGGAAGAAGGCGAAAGCUUGACGGUACCCAAGAAGAAAGCCCCGGCUAACUACGUGCCAGCAGCCGCGGUAAUACGUAGGGGGCGAGCGUUGUCCGGAAUUACUGGGCGUAAAGGGUGCGUAGGCGGCCCUUUAAGUCGGAUGUGAAAGCCCGCGGCUUAACCGCGGAAUGGCAUUCGAAACUGGAGGGCUUGAGUGUCGGAGAGGGUAGUGGAAUUCCCAGUGUAGCGGUGAAAUGCGUAGAUAUUGGGAGGAACACCAGUGGCGAAGGCGACUACCUGGACGAUAACUGACGCUGAGGCACGAAAGCUAGGGGAGCAAACAGGAUUAGAUACCCUGGUAGUCCUAGCCGUAAACGAUGGGUACUAGGUGUGGGUGGUUUCGAUACCAUCCGUGCCGUAGUUAACGCAUUAAGUACCCCGCCUGGGGAGUACGUGCGCAAGCAUGAAACUCAAAGGAAUUGACGG